GACAGAGGGUGCAAACGUUGCUCGGAAUCACUGGGCGUAAAGGGCGUGUAGGCGGGAAUGUAAGUCGGGCGUGAAAUCUACAGGCUCAACUUGUAGUCUGCACGAGAAACUGCCGGGCUUGAGUGUGGGAGAGGUGAGUGGAAUUCCUGGUGUAGCGGUGAAAUGCGUAGAUAUCAGGAGGAACACCUGUGGCGAAGGCGGCCAUCUGGGACAACACUGACGCUGAAGCACGAAAGCGUGGGGAGCAAACAGG
rnacentral:rRNA from 1 species